rnacentral:misc_RNA from 1 species
AAAUGUCUUCCAAAGUUUUGGUUUGUUUGUUAACCGGACAAUUCAAAACUUAUGGGAUUUGGGUUUUGCAGAACAUUUCGUUCGGCUAGCCUUAAAUUAUUUUAGCCAUAAAAAGUCUUGGAUAAGGCGUAAUAGUUGGUACCUCUGGGUCCAUCCCUUUCGCUGAAACAAAUCUUUUUAAUUUCUGGCUUAAUAAAUAUGGAAAAAUGAAAUAUAUAUAUUUCAUCAUUG